ensembl:lncRNA
CAUCCCUCCAUAGCUUCUGCUGUGUUCCUGGAUUGUGGGUUUCCCCACCAAGCCUUCUACUGCUUGUCAGCUUCAGCCUCUUGGACUCAACUGAUUUUGCUGUCCUGGAUUUUUCUCUUGUGGACUCUGUUCAACUCCUGUCUGUUUUUGGAUGCUCCCCAGUCUUCAGUCUGCCAGUUUUGUUUCCCCACUAGCUUCUGGGUUGUCCUAGCCUGCUUAGCCUUUAGCUCUGUUUUCUCCUGGUUUUUGUAAGUACAUUGCUGUGUUGUUUGGUUCAGGUUAUUCCUGUUUGGUUUUGUGGUUUUUGUAGGUUUGGUUUUGUGGUUUUGGUAGUGUAGUUUCUUUUAGUGUUAGUUGUGGUUUAGUUUGUCUGCUGGGGUCCGUUUCACGAAGCAGGUUGAACAAACUGUUGUUGGUUAAAUCAAGUCGGAGUAGUUUCCCCGGAGUUAAGCAUGUGCGCCACAACUCUGACAAGCCAGUAUCAAUGGAGCGCCGAUUCGACGAGUCACCAUGGCAACGGAAAGAAGUGCAACACCGCUGCAAAUGAGAGGGAAACGGCGUGGGAGAGCAUUGCUGCCCGAGUCAAUGUGUGCAAGAGGGAGAUGGCCUGGGAGAGCAUUGCUGCCCGAGUCAACGUGUGCAAUCCUGUGGGAGAGAAGUGUAUGUGGCAAACAGGUAAGAUGUAUUUAUCACUGGAAGACAAAUUGUGGCUGUUCUAGCACCUCCACUGUGUUCAUUGAGUCUUCUGCUCUACAGGCUGGGGACCUGGAACCUUUGACUGAAUUUUCUCUCUCAUAUCUACCUAGGGAACUGAUACCUACACAUCUACUAGUAAUUAUGAUUAAUAAAAUUCCUAAAACAAUAACAUCAGAACAAUAUAUAAAAAUGCUGUGUCUUACAUAAUAUCUUAUUGAUACCUUACAAAUAGUCUUUAAACCUUUAAUUACUGUUUCAGAUUUGACAGUUGCACUAUAUACUGCAGAAACUCUAUAUGCUACUACAUUACCAAAGUAAGCUUUCAUUAUUAAAACACACAUGUGAUUUAAUGUUGUACAUUUAGUUGUUGUCUUUCACCCAGUUCUCACAGGUUGGCCUGACAACAAAAUAAACCCUAUCCUUUAAUUAAGAUCUUGUUACUGCAGAAAAUGACAACUUCAGCCUGUCACAUUCAUGUACAACUCCAUACUUUAAUUUCCUCUAUAUAUUUUCAAUUAUCACUAACACAAAUUUACAAACCACUUACUCAAAAUCAAUCACAGACCACAAAUAAAUAUAUGCAAUACUUCAACCACCAUAUUACAAGACCAGAUCUACAAAUG